AGCGAACGCUGGCGGCAGGCCUAACACAUGCAAGUCGAACGAACCUUUCGGGGUUAGUGGCGGACGGGUGAGUAACACGUGGGCACGUGCCUUUAGGUUCGGAAUAACUCAGGGAAACUUGUGCUAAUACCGAAUGUGCCCUUCGGGGGAAAGAUUUAUCGCCUUUAGAGCGGCCCGCGUCUGAUUAGCUAGUUGGUUGAGGUAAUGGCUCACCAAGGCGACGAUCAGUAGCUGGUCUGAGAGGAUGAUCAGCCACAUUGGGACUGAGACACGGCCCAAACUCCUACGGGAGGCAGCAGUGGGGAAUCUUGCGCAAUGGACGAAAGCCUGACGCAGCCAUGCCGCGUGAAUGAUGAAGGUCUUAGGAUUGUAAAAUUCUUUCACCGGGGACGAUAAUGACGGUACCCGGAGAAGAAGCCCCGGCUAACUUCGUG
rnacentral:rRNA from 1 species